CAUGCAUUGGAAACUGUUAACCUAGAGUUUGGUAGAGAGUUCUGGAACUCCAUGUGGAGCGGUGGAAUGCGUAGAUAUAUGGAAGAACACCAGUUGCGAAGGCGAGAACUUGGGCCACAACUGACGCUUAGGCUCGAAAGUGUGGGGGAGCAAAUAGGAUUAGAUACCCUAGUAGUCCACACCGUAAACGAUGGGUGUUAAACGUCGGGAUUUAAUCUCGGUGUUGUAGUUAACACAUUAAACACCCUGCCUGGGUAGUACAUUCGCAAGAAUGAAACUCAAACGGAAUUGACGGGGACCCGCACAAGUGGUGGAGCAUGUUGUUUAAUUCGACGAUACACGUAGAACCUUACCUAGACUUGACAUCCUUGGCGAAGUUAUAGAAAUAUAAUGGAGGUUAACCGAGAGACAGGUGGUGCAUGGUUGUCGUCAGCUCGUGUCGUGAGAUGUUGGGUUAAGUCCCGCAACGAGCGCA
rnacentral:rRNA from 1 species